rnacentral:rRNA from 1 species
UGUCUAUCGUACCUUGUUGCUUCGGCGGGCCCGCCGUUUCGACGGCCGCCGGGGAGGCCUUGCGCCCCCGGGCCCGCGCCCGCCGAAGACCCCAACAUGAACGCUGUUCUGAAAGUAUGCAGUCUGAGUUGAUUAUCGUAAUCAGUUAAAACUUUCAACAACGGAUCUCUUGGUUCCGGCAUCGAUGAAGAACGCAGCGAAAUGCGAUAAGUAAUGUGAAUUGCAGAAUUCAGUGAAUCAUCGAGUCUUUGAACGCACAUUGCGCCCCCUGGUAUUCCGGGGGGCAUGCCUGUCCGAGCGUCAUUGCUGCCCUCAAGCACGGCUUGUGUGUUGGGCCCCCGUCCCCCUCUCCCGGGGGACGGGCCCGAAAGGCAGCGGCGGCACCGCGUCCGGUCCUCGAGCGUAUGGGGCUUUGUCACCUGCUCUGUAGGCCCGGCCGGCGCCAGCCGACACCCAACUUUAUUUUUCUAAGGUUGACCUCGGAUCAGGUAGGGAUACCCGCUGAACUUAAGCAUAUCAAA